rnacentral:rRNA from 1 species
AUUGCACGCUGGCGGCAGGCCUAACACAUGCACGUCGAACGCGUGGGGGACGGGUGAGUAAUGUGUGGGAAACUGCCUGAGGGAGGGGGAUAUAUACGGGAAAGUGUAGAUAAUACCGAAUACCAUCAGAUGUGCCCAUAUGAGUUGAGCUAGUUGGUGGGGUAACGGCUCACCAAGGCGACGAUCCCUUGCUGGUCUUAGAUUGUUACCAGCCACACUGUAACUGAGACACGGUCCAGACUCCUACGGGAGGCAGCAGUGGGGAAUAUUGCACAAUGGGCGAAAGCCUGAUGCAGCCAUGCCGCGUGGAUGAAGAAGGCCGUAGGGUUGUAAAGUACUUUCAGUCGGGAGGCGUUACCCGCAGAAGAAGCACCGGCUAACUCCGUGCCAGCAGCCGCGGUAAUAC